rnacentral:tRNA from 3 species
GCCCCUGUGGCGGAAUUGGUAGACGCGCCGCACUCAAAAUGCGGUUCCUCACGGAGUACCUGUUCGAGUCAGGUCAGGGGCACCA